GAUGAACGCUGGCGGCGUGCCUAAUACAUGCAAGUCGAGCGAACCACUUCGGUGGUGAGCGGCGAACGGGUGAGUAACACGUAGGUUAUCUGCCCAUCAGACGGGGACAACGAUUGGAAACGAUCGCUAAUACCGGAUAGGACGAAAGUUUAAAGGUGCUUCGGCACCACUGAUGGAUGAGCCUGCGGCGCAUUAGCUAGUUGGUAGGGUAAAGGCCUACCAAGGCGACGAUGCGUAGCCGACCUGAGAGGGUGAACGGCCACACUGGGACUGAGACACGGCCCAGACUCCUACGGGAGGCAGCAGUAGGGAAUCUUCGGCAAUGGGCGAAAGCCUGACCGAGCAACGCCGCGUGAAUGAUGAAGGCCUCGGUUGGUAAAGUU
rnacentral:rRNA from 1 species